UUUCAUGCGUGAGUUCCAAAUAUCUCUAACGGUCGCCCCAGCGUGAGUUUUUUUAUGCACGUGAUGUUAGAAUGUUCUCUCCAUUCCAGAAUGUGAUUGAUACGUAACAGUACAUUUUAUCCGCGCUGCCCUCAAACUAAAGCACGCAGCCUGUUUAUAUUUAUAGGUUGUUUUAACUUCAAUUUCAAAUGAUUUUCAAACAAGUUUUUAUUUUCUAAAAACAGUUUGAAUUUAGGUGUGUUACGCCUCCUCAUUCAUUCACAUAAAAAUAGUCAUUUUUACUUUUGCGGAUAAUUACAUUUUUGGGACAUUUCUGACACGGACAAAAUUCCCCAAGCACUACCCAAUUGUUUGUGCAGUUCACGUCUGCAGACAUUUGCUCAUCUCCCGUCAGAACAGGAUCUGCACACGUGUUCACAUUUUCUAUUCCACAUUUCUAUUGUAGCGUACUGUAUGUAUGGAGCAUAAUAUAUUUGUGUAUAUUCUUUAUCACCGCGGACACGUGAGGUAACGUUACUCAUUUUAUAACCUUUAUGGUGUUAUAGUCAAUCGUGCUUACGUAGCCACAUUCUUCUAUUACCUCUGUAAAACAAUGCUAAAUGCGUCAGAGAAGUAUUAUCUUGUGUUGCAUUUUGAAGCUACCCCAUGGCCUUAUGACUCUCAAGUGGUGCAGCGGUCAAAGGCACAGCACAUCAGUACUAGAGGCGUCACUACAGACUCCCUGGUUCAAAUCCAGGCUGCGUUUCCAUCAAAAAACCAGAAACAUUAUUUGUCAAUAUCAUAACUGGAGCUGGACAUCUUUGGAGCUGAAGAAUGAGGACAGCUUUUGUAUGCUAACGUACACUCCUUAACAGUUGUACUGGAUGAAAACACAGCAAGAAAACACAUAUGCCAAUAUGUAAUAUUAAUCUAUUUUAUUGCAGUACUGGUAGUUGGUUCAACAACUUGUUUUACUAGAGGACAAAAAACUGAAUAUGCAUAACCCAUAUUUAAUAUCCAUGCAGUGACUGAACAACAACUGCAUUUCCACCCCCAUCUCUAAGGCAUAGUAUCAUGGCUGCAACAACACUGAAUGGCGCAGAGUGGGAGGUUACGUGGUUGACUGCCGGCACACGCUACUUGUAUCAAUAAAUCACUAUCAGAAAA